AUAAUUUACGUGCCAAUUAUAACAUAGGGAACUUAAAUUGAUUCAACUCCCCCCGUUCCCUAAAUCUUUUCUUUUCUUUCUUCUUUUUCUUUUUAAUUAAUUAACUCACCAUUUAUGUAUAUUAGGGACUCCCUUGCAUGAGUACAAGGUCCCUUUUAGCUUGAUUUAGGCUUAAUACUCUAUUAUAGCAUGAAAUCCCUUAUUUUCCACCCGGAUAAACAGUAACCCGGACUGACAGUGGGUUACUUCAUCCCGGUUUUGAUCCACUUUCAGGACUCCAAAUUUGAUGAAAUUUUUACCUAACAUUCUACACUCAUAGAGGAUUCCAAAGAGAUAACAUGUAUCAUCAUCGGAGGCCGUUUGACCCCCUAAAUAAUUCACCGAAGUUGGGACUUCGACACAGUUUUUCCGUAAUGCCGGAAAAAUUUGUCGAAAUCUGAUUCUUCCUCUUUUAACCACCUCUACAACCCUUAUC
rnacentral:lncRNA from 1 species